CAAUGCCUUCGGCACAAAACAUCGUUAUCCACAAGUCAACUUCAACGUAAACAAAAAAAUAUUGACGUCACCGUGAAAUUGAUGGCUGCGUUCAAUUUUGACAUCAAAGUCGCGUGAAUCACGACAGCAUUAUUCAUUGCAACAAAAGUAACCCUAACACUGUUUCUGUUUCAAAUUUGCAAAUCUGAAACGCGCUGAGGUUAAUUUAUUAUCUCAAGAUUUGCACAUUUACACCAACACUAAUUGAUAGUGAGAAUUCUUAUGGGGUGUGGUCCUAAAGGUGAUGAGUAUGGGGGAUAACUUUUUCUGUAGCUCGAUAUGACUUAUAUGAUUGAGAAUCCAGUUUUAGAGUGUUCUAUAAAGGAUUUGUGGAGUUCAUACAAGGGGGCUAAUAUUCGUUUUAUUAGAUUGAAAAGGAGGAUGCAAGUUUUGGAGGUUUUAGAAUAUUAGGGUUCAAAAGAAGUUGUUGCUUAAGAAGCUGGCUUCCAUGAAGAUUGAGCCUGAGGACAUGUUUAAAACCGUUCAAGAGGUUGCCAUUUAUGUUCAUAGGUUUCACAACCUUGACCUGUUCCAGCAAGGAUGGUAUCAAAUAAAGAUUAGCAUGAAAUGGGAGAAUGAUGACAAUUCUUCUUUGGGCACACCGGCAAGAGUUGUACAAUAUGAAGCUCCUAAUCUAGGUUGUGAUGAGAUAUAUGGAGUAUGGAGGAUCAAUGAUAGAGACAACAGUUUUUCAACACAACCUUUCCAGAUUAAAUAUGCAAGGCAGGAUAUUCUUCUUUCCAUCCUGAUUUCAUUCAUUCUAUCUCCGAGUAAACAUGAGGAUCCAUGUGCAUCGGCUGUUAUUUUGAAGUUUGAGCUAAUGUAUGCUUCAAUCUUGGAAAUUGGGUGUGAUUUGCAGGCUUCUCUGGAUGCAUGUUCUGCUGCAAUCCAUGAAUUUCGGAUACCUCCUAAGGCUCUUAUGGGAUUGCACUCAUAUUGCCCUGUCCACUUUGAUGCAUUUCAUGCAGUGCUUGUUGAUGUGAGCAUUCAUUUGAGUCUACAGAAAGCUGGUAAAGCUGGUUCUCAUACCCCUGCAUUGAAUGUAUCCAGUGAUACUUGCAAGGCUGAAGAUGUUGCUGGUGGGAUCAUUAAUGCAUCUGAUCAAGCUUUGGGUCAAGUGGCUUCUGCAGAUACAAAACCUGUUUUGCUUGUUAAAGCACUAUUAGAUUCCCACAAUACAUUACUUGAAGAUCUACAAAAACUUAGUGUAGCAAUUAAUCAAGCUAUAGAUAUGUCUGAGUUUAUAUCUGGAAUGGAUGCUAUAAAGUUGUCUCAUCCUAUCUUGCAAGUGAACCUGGGUACUACCAGUGGUGAAGUUUUGGAACAAGGCAAGCCACAAAAUUGUUUCGAGAAUGCAGAGGGUUCUCUGGAUUUUCGAAGGGAUCUAUUGCUCUGCAGCUUAUCAGAGGAAAACCUAAUGAAAAUUUUUGAUUUUUUGGGCAAUAAAGUGUUCUUUUUGUGGAAUAUGUUUCUGAACUUUCACAGGGCUAACAGUAGAAAGAUACUGACAUAUUUACGCAAUGCAUGGGCCAAGGAUCGGAGAGCUGAAUGGUCUAUAUGGAUGUUGUACUCUAAGCUUGAGAUGCCUUAUCAUUAUCUAAAUAGUGGGCUUGAGGAGCCCCCCCACAAUGGUGUGCAUGAAAGAGUUUCAAGUUUGUUGAAGUUGAAUGAUCCUGCCCAGCUUGCAGCAAUGCAUGCAGAACUUCACCGUCGAAGUAUAGCACAAAUGAAGAUCAACAACCGGUUCAUUCAAGAUAUGCAUAUAUUUCGAGAUCCUUCACAUAUUCCUAUAGUAAUUGUGGAGCAUAUCAUGAAUACUUUUAGCGAAAAUUCAUACUUAAAAAAUGUGGACCUAAUAGGUGGGCAUGGCCCUAGCUCCAUAUCUGGAAAACAGCUACCUGGUGCUAGCCCACCACAACAAAGUCGUGACUUGAAGGUUGUUGUCUUCGUGCAUGGGUUUCAGGGACAUCAUCUUGAUUUGCGGCUUAUUCGGAAUCAAUGGCUUUUGAUAGAUCCAAAGAUAGAAUUUCUUAUGUCAGAGGUGAAUCAAGAAAGAACAUCUGGAGAUAUAAGGGAGAUGGGACAAAGACUGGCUCAAGAAGUGAUUGCUUUUCUUAAAAAAAAAAUGGAUAAACUGUCUAGAUCUGCUGCCCUAAGAGAUAUCAAGCUCAGCUUUGUUGGGCAUUCAAUUGGAAAUAUCAUUCUUAGAACAGCAUUAGCAGAUAUGUACUUUAAUUUCUGCAGAGGGGAUUAUGGAACCCUACCUAAGGCACCUGUAUACAUACGUUUCUUUAUCUGGUCCACAUUUGGGGUAUCUUUACAGUUCGAACUCCUUAUUCAACUCGGGGCUGUGGCUUUUGAAGAAGUUUAAGAAUACACAGUGCAUUCAUCAGCUCACUCUUACAGAUAAUCCUGAUUUGCAGAAAACAUUUUUCUACAAACUUUCUAAGCAGAAGACAUUGGAAAAUUUCAGGCAUAUAAUUCUGCUAUCUUCACCCCAGGAUGGUUAUGUUCCAUAUCAUUCGGCCAGAAUUGAACUGUGCCCGGCAGCUUCAUGGGACUACUCAAAAAGGGGCAAAGUAUUUCUGGAGAUGCUGAAUAAUUGCUUGGACCAGAUUCGUGCCCCUUCCUCUGAGCAGCGUGUGUUCAUGCGUUGUAAUGUCAACUUUGAUACCACAGCCUAUGGCAAAAACUUUAACAGUAUCAUUGGACGGACUGCUCAUAUCGAGUUUCUAGAGUCUGACAUUUAUGCAAAAUUCUUAAUGUGGUCCUUCCCGGAAAUAUUUCAGUGAAACAUGUGUUUGUGUUACUUGGUCACAGUUCGGUUUUCUAUCACUUACCUCCAAUUAACAGUUACUGUGAGGAUGGAUUGGUACAUACAAGGAGCGGAGACACAGGCCGGUAUUAAUCUGCUAUUUUGUAUCUUCAUUUAGCGAAAUCUGUGUUUUAGUGACACCACAGGCCUCGAAGGCUUGAAUUGAAUUCAUAUUGUCUCAGGCUAAUUGUCUAUUCAGCAAUCCUGUGCGGCACAUAUCGGCAUAGCGGGCUUUUACAGUAGACUUUGGGGGCAGCAGGGAGGCUGAAUGGAUAUUUAUUAGCCAUCUAGUUUAUAUAGACAUAGAUUUAUAGUUACACAUACUUAUGGUUUUGGCCAUUUUCCUAGGAACAUGGCCAUUCAAAGUGGUAGGAGAGGUGGCCAUUGUGAGUUAUUAAUUGUUAUAAUAAUAAUUUCAAUGUUGGGUUCUUCA